GAGUCCAUGGGGACAGGGAGGGGGAGCUGCCACUGGGCGAGAUGAUGCCCAGGGGGAGAUCCCGGGCCAGAGCCAGGGCCGGGCGUGUCCUUCAUGGUGACCCCCCUAGAACUCCAGGGAACUGGCAUCACACACUCCCUGCCUGUUGUGAUUUGAUAUGAGGGGUCCCUGAGGCUCCUGACAGCUCAGAGGUGAAAUGGCUCCAUUAUUACAGCCGCCAGCUCACCAGGGGCUUAAUGCACUCGGUGGUCAGUAGCUGGACGCCAACCUGGGUGGGACUGCAGGCAGACGGGGCGUGGCUAGAGAAGGUGGGUCCGCCGGGGACGUGUCUGGAAGGGUUCGACUUCCCUGCAGCCCCCCUGCUUGUUUCCCUGCUGCAGGAGCUGAGCAUGCCCCUCCUGCACGCCCUUCCACCUCGAGGCUCUGCCUGGCCCAGGUGACGACCUACUGCCCGGAGCAAUGGACCGAACCACGGCCGACCAUGAACCGAACUUCUGAAGCCGUGAGCAUAAAAUCGAGUUUUCCUCCUCCAGAUUGUUCUUGUGGGGAUCUUCUCAGGAGAGGGGCAGUAAUCCCACCGCUCAGGUCCAGCUCCGCAGAGCCUCGGCCAGGAGAUGCAGGGACAGCGGUGGGUCAGGGCAAGCGUUCAGCAGCGGCGAGAUCUGGAGGCGCCCAGGAUGGUGAACCGCUCCGGGGUGCGCGUGUAUGCAGGGCGGUCUCUACAGCGACAUCUGUAAGAGCGACAAAGGAAACAGAAGACGCUUCUGAGGCUCCCCGAGGGUCCAGCGAGAGGAAAUGAGCUAAAUAAAUAACGGUGCAGCCCACGACCGAAUACCAAGCAGAACCACAGAGAACAAAGCGCCAUGCAGCAAAGGAAAGCGCCCUCCUGCACUGACCCGCUGCUGGCCCCACCUGGACAGUCCAGAUCCGGUCUCCCCCGCCCACGCUGCUUUGUGAAAAUAACCUGUGACCUCAUCUGGGUCACCUGCAGGUGUCUAUUGUGACCCAUCGCUCCCCUCUGCUCCCGGGGACCUCCUGAUUCUCUUCCUGCCUCCCCAGGGCUCCUUGCUGUCCCCUUGUACCUUGUGCUGUCCCUGGACUCCGUUCUGGGUCUUCUUUUCAUCCUCUCCCGCUCCCUUGGGGCUCCCCAAGACCCGGGGGGGGGGGCGCGCUGCAAGCUGCUCAUAAGCUGAUGGCUCCUGAGUUUCCAUCUCUGCUAACACCGGUCACGUAGCACACGGAACACUGGCCCUCAGCCUGCAGCUGACUUCCCAAGAAUCCUGCAUAAGGCAACCCAGGAUGACCACCUGCCAGAGGUCAGACUCUAGAAAACCAGGUGACCUCUUGUGACAAUCCAGGAAGUCACAAGAGGAAGCAUUCCAUGCCCUAGGGCCAGGACUUGGUUAGGUACAGACAGCCGUUCUCAUUUUUUUUGUCCUCUCCUCUUGGGGAAGACCAAGCAGAGAAAUGCAAAUAGCAUGUGCAAAGACCCUGAGGUGGGUGCUUCUAGUUCCCUGCCUGGGGCCCCACAGCCCUGCGGCCUCCAUCAGGACUCACCUGAAGCUCUUCCUCUCCCUACUGUAAGGUCUCCCUACCCCUCUGCCUCCCCCGAGGCUCUGCCAAAUGCAAGUGUCCACCGCCGAUGGCCUGACUCUAGCAAGCUCCGGAGGGGGCGGAGGAUA